rnacentral:rRNA from 1 species
CUCGUAGGCGGUUUGUCGCGUCGGGAGUGAAAACACUGGGCUUAACCGAGUGCUUGCUUUCGAUACGGGCAGACUUGAGGCAUUGAGGGGAGAACGGAAUUCCUGGUGUAGCGGUGAAAUGCGCAGAUAUCAGGAGGAACACCGGUGGCGAAGGCGGUUCUCUGGCAAUGUUCUGACGCUGAGGAGCGAAAGUGUGGGGGAGCGAACA